AUUUGUGUUAGUGUGCACAGCAGACUCUUGAAUUGCAUAGUAUGGUAUUUUAUUCUUGCUACAGCAUCCUUGCAUUACAUGCAUACGGAUCCACUAGCGCAAAGGCAUAGAGGAAGGAUUGAGAGUUAGUCUCGCACAACCUCUACUGAUCGUUAUAUUAGUCUUUUCGCGUGACUUCUGUAUCCGAAUGGAUCCUGCCAAACUCCGGACUCGACAACUACCACAAGAAAAGAAUUUAGAAGCAAUACUAAAAAGAAUUCAACGCCUUUAAAAGAAUCACAUUAAAAGGACCCUGGCUAUCAAGAUCUGAGCCUAGAACACAUUGAUAAUGUUAAACACAUUGGUAAAUUCCACUAGCGCAAAGGCAUAGAGAAAGGAUUGGGAGUUAGUCUCGCGCAACCUCUACUGAUCGCUAAUUUAUUAGUUGUUGAACGUGACCCUCGUCGAACCCCUGGAACAGCUCCAACGAACACCAAAAAUUCGAUUGAACCCAGGUAAAAAAAAAAACUGUUAUAGACCAGCGUUUCCCAAACUUUUUCGGCCACGGAACUUUUACACUUUUUAUCUCGCCUCGCGAAACAAAAAUGAAAGGGUAAAAUUGAUAAAGGAAAGCGGUCUAAUGUAGUGGUUCCCAAUGGAUAAUAUUUUGGACAUCUUGUGCGAUAAUUGAAAUAUUUGCAGCUCUUCCUGACUAGCGGGAUUGAACAUGAUAUAUAUAUCAGUUUAUACGUGACAAAAUAUGAAUUGAUAGAUUAUAAGAUUACAUAUAUACUUGCUCUUUACUUUUCAGACUAUAUAGGCGUCAAUCUCACUCCGUGAUGCACCAGACUAUUAACAAUGUCGAUUCUGUUUGAUGCAAUGACUCUUUCAAGCAGUGUUUUAGAAAACUGAAAAUAAAUAUAUAGUUUCAUUAUCAAGUUUGGGAUUUAUAAAUCACAAAAAGUGCUGUUUGGCAGAGGUAAAGCAAAGGUAAACUUAUAUUAAAAAUACAUAAAAAAAAUCAAUCCAAUGUUAUGUUCAUGCGUAUACUGAGUCCAUCUAACUUUAGGUGAAACUAAAUUUCGUUGACCUAAGACACUAUCAAGUUAUUUAAAUCACAAAAAAUGCUAUUUAACAGAAAUACAGAAAAGAGAUUUGGUUAAAGACAUAGUCUUUUAAACUAUGUCCUUAUCAAUCUUUGGAGCUGUAAUUAACAUGGACACAGAGUAGCUAAGCUUAUACUAGAAGUUAAAAAAAAUAAAAAUAUUAAUUUUUCGUUUAAAUAAAAUUAUUUGCUGAUUUGCUGCGUUACAGUAUCGCCACUGGAAACGAUAUUUUAUUUUGGGGCUUGCAUGGCGUAGUUAACCAAUGCCAAAUCGUAUAGAAUUCACAUUGAUACACUCGGUUGGAAUUACUUAUUAGCCAGAAAAAAACGAUAGUUGUCCGAAUCAUGAUAUUAUACAGUAUUUAGACUAGAGGAUUUUCCAAAAUAAAUUCCAUUUGACAGACAAACCAAAGCUGAGCUUAUACUCAAUAUAAUAAAAAUAAUACUUUGUCAGCAGGUUUCCCGAAAAAAUUGCAGAUAUUAUUUAUUGAUAGAUAUACAAGUAAUUUACACGAGACGCGAGAUAUUCCAAACUUGAACGGCUUAAAAUGUUUGUGUACCACAGGCAUUGUGCGU